rnacentral:rRNA from 1 species
AAAAGUCGUAACAAGGUUUCCGUAGGUGAACCUGCGGAAGGAUCAUUAUCAUACAACUGAGGCACAAGGGCUGUCGCUGACUUUUUCGUCGUGCACGCCCAGGUGCUCUCAAAACAAUCCAUCUCACCCCUAUGUGCACCACCGCGUGGGUCCCCUUUUGGCUCGUCCCGAGGGGGGCUCGCGUUUUCACACAAACUAAACACAGUGUAGAAUGUCCUUCUUUGCGAUCACACGCAAUUAAUACAACUUUCAACAACGGAUCUCUUGGCUCUCGCAUCGAUGAAGAACGCAGCGAAAUGCGAUACGUAAUGUGAAUUGCAGAAUUCAGUGAAUCAUCGAAUCUUUGAACGCACCUUGCGCCCCUUGGCAUUCCGAGGGGCACACCCGUUUGAGUGUCGUGAAAUUCUCAAAACCCUUUUCUUUUGAAGAGGAUUUUGGACUUGGAGGCUUUUUGCUGGUUUCGCACAGAAGCGAGCUCCUCCUAAAUGGAUUAGUGGGGUCUGCUUUGCCGAUCCUUGACGUGAUAAGAUGUUUCUACGUCUUGGGUUUGGCAUCGCACCCGCUUCUAACCGUCUCAUCGACAAUGAUGGCGUUCCGGUCACCACCGUUUCAUCGGUGGGAGGCUGGACCCACCACAAAAACCUUGACCUCAAAUCGGGUGAGACUACCCGCUGAACUUAAGCAUAUCAAUAAGCGGAGGA